CCGAACCCAGCAGUUAAGCCCUCUCACGUGAUGUGUUGUACUGAGGUGCGAGAGCCCUCGGGAAGCACAACUCGCUGCUAUUA
rfam:Methanoculleus marisnigri MPJ_scaffold_2124, whole genome shotgun sequence.